UAUGUUUUAUGUUUGUAUCGUCGUUGUCGUUUGUUUGUCCUAGUAUUUUAUCCUAUUUUGGAUUCAUUUGGAUUUUGUUGGCUGUUUUGUGUGUAUUUUUUAAAACUUUUGUUUGUCAUUUGUAAAUUUUAUAAAUUUACCACAAUGGAAAGUGACUAUUUAAGGAAAUUAUUAUUGGAAACUCCGCAGAUGUUUUAGAAAGAUAUUCAUUGAAGCUGAAAAUAAUUGGAGAUUUAGAUCCAUAUACAAUUCAGUCAUCAGAAUUGGAUUUUACAGUGCAUUCCAUCAAUAAGGUACUGUUAUAAUGCUAUUAUAGGUAGACUGGUAGAGUCUCACAGUUACUACUUUAAGCAGCAGAUGAAAGCAUACAAAAGCCUUCAGACACAUAAAAGCCUUCACAACUGGAUUUGUUUUGAAACAUUUGAUGUUUUGAUGAUUUCUAUAUUAUUGUUGGAGAGGUGAAGAAUUCCCAAAAAGCUAAUGCUAAACCACUAGAUGUUUGGGUGAUAGCCAGUUCCAAUGGCAUAGCAAAUGCACAUUGUAUGUGUAUUGCCGGUAAUAGUGAAGUUUGCAGCCAUAUUGCAGCAAUCUUAUUUGCAGCUGAGUAUGCCCACAGCAAGACAGAAGAAGAACCCAAUGCAUGUACAGAUGUUACAGCUAUGUAUAUUCUCUGGUGAAAAACUAAUGAGUUUUCAAGCUGUUCGUUCAGAGUGCUUGUUGCGCUCUCUAAACGAACUGAAAUAUAAGGCGGCUUUGGCUUCAUGUUGCAGCGAUAUGAAAAUGGUUAGUCAUUUUUAAUUAUAAUGUACUUCUUCAUCAUGAGUAUUUAUGUAUAGGGCUUUUCAUUCACAGUCAUUUGUUUCGAGCUUCUGUCAUGUGUCACAUAAUAUUAAUAUUAUAUCUAUGUCAUACGUUAUUGGUAUAUACCAAUGAUACACACCAAAGACAUAUGGCGUAGAUAUAUUAAUAUUAUGUGACACAUGGCAGAUGCUCGAAACAAAUGACAGUCGAUACAAAGCCCUAUUAGUCUUUUAAGUGUGUAUUAUCAGAUAUCACAUGUAAAUUGUUUUUAUCAUUUUAAUUUGGUCAUUACAGUCCCUUAAUCAAAAAAAGAAUGUGUGUGUACUUUGUACGCACGUAAGAAGUUAUACUUCUACUACAUAUUAUGUGAUUUUUAAGACAAUACCAAAUAUUUAAAAAAAUAAAAGAAUAAAACGCACACAAACACAUUGAAAAAUGCCACAAAGAAAAAAUGAUUUCUGAACGAUAAUAAUUGUUGGCGAAAAUUUUAAAUACGCAUUUUCUGAAAAAAAAAAAUUAUGUAACAAAUACUUACAAUCAUAAAAUGCAUAAAAAAAUAAAAAUUUGCAUCGGGAAUCGAACCCGUGAAUUUCGGGGCGCUUUGAUUCGUAAUCGAAGCCUAGACUCACUCGUCCAAUUCCACAUUAUUUGUCAUGUGGAAAAAUAGGGUAACUGAACGUUUUUCUCUUUGACAGUUGUUUUGAAUAUAAUUAAAUUAUGUAGUUUAAAUUUUGUGGAAGAAAAUAUUAAAAUAUAACAAAACAGUAAGAAAACAAUAUAUUAGAUGAAUAUUGGUAGAACUUUUGUUGGUAAUCAAAUUAAGUAUGUAAAUCAAAGCAUUACAUACCUACUAGAUAAAUAAAUCUACGCCAAAAAAUCAUAAUUUAAAAAUAAAAAUCGGACCUAAUUUGGGAUUUCUCUCUAAAAUCGCCAUUCUUGAGAAAAUAAAUGUAUAGUAGGGCGUCGAUUAUCCGAACGUCGAUCAACCGAACGACCGCUUAUUCGAACUAUCGAUUCCCGCGUCCCGCACUCGAAUACCGAGCAAGCGUUAGUAAUUGACGCUUAAAAUAUCUUCAAUUUUCUUCAAUAUUGUAUCCAAAAAUAAUUAUGUUGUUGCAAAGACUGCACUUUUUUGUUUAGUUGCUAGUUGUCAUUAUCAAGGUAUAAAUAAAUAUGUAGGUAUAUAAAUAUGGCUUUUAUUCACUUGUGGAUAAAUAUGUAUGACUAUAAAUAUGUAUCAAUAUAUUGUAGUUCGAUUAUCCGAACAAAUCGGUUUUCCGAACACCUAUGUCCCCCAAUUAGUUCGGAUAAUCGACGCUCUACUGUAUUUCAACCUAAUCCAAAUGUAUAAUUACAAUAUGAUUAUAAUAAAAACUAGUUACCAAAUUAGAAUGAGUUUUCCUUGUCCAAAAGUCCAAAAAUAUAGGUAUAUGAAAACUAUUUAAAAAGGCAGUAUAACUAUUAACUAACUUUUGUUUGUUGUUUCUUUUCACACAAAUUUUAAAACGCAACAACCAUAAAUAAUCUAACUACAGCUGUGCCACAGCCGCCAUAUUGAAUAAUUUUUGACAUGUCAUUUGAACAUCCAAUCAAAACAAAGUUAUAAAGCGCAUGCGCCGGGAUCAUAGGUUUUAACAUAUAACAAUUCACCCUCAUAUCGCCGGUAAAGAAGUAUAACUUCAAAAAUAUAUUUUUCAGGGGUCUGUGGAUCUUUUUGUAUGCAAAAAUUUGUAAUAAUUAUUUGAAAUCAUUUUGAGGAUUAUAAGAGUAUGGAAAUAUAUGUGAGAACACAGACUAUUAUAGUUUUGUCCUAAUUUUUAUCAUUCAAUCGUCUUCUUUAAAAUUUAUAAAUAUAAAGCAGAUAGUUUUCAUUGAAAUUCAAUAUAUUGGGUCUUAUUUGUAUGUAUUCAUUUUUGACUAAAGGUACGAUUCCGAUAACGACUGCAGACAGCAACUGCAAACAUCAGUUGCAGCUCUCGGCGUUAUGGACGUUACUACUUUGCACUAUUUAUCUGUAUGAGACUGAUUCCGACAUCUGACUGCAACUGCUGUCUGGAAGAACAUCAGUUGCUAAUAAUUAUGCAAAUUAUUAGUGCAAAAUAAUGACGUCUGUCAUGGUGACUACUGUAACUGCCAUCUGCAGUCGUUGUCGGAAUCGUACCUUUAAAGUGUGUGGUAUAAUUAUAAUAAUUAUAUAUAUUAUAUAACUUAAAUGGUUUAAACUUAAGUUUGUUAUUACAUUGUGACUUAAAUGUUUAAUUUGUUAAUAAAUGAUUUAUUAGUUUA